GACGAACGCUGGCGGCGGGCUUAACACAUGCAAGUCGAACGGAAAGGCCCUGCUUUCGUGGGGUUCCCGAGGGGCGAACGGGGGAGGAACACGUGAGUAACCUGCCCUUCACUUUCGGAUAACUUCAGGAAACUGGGGCUAAGACCGUAUAGGAGCUCCCCCUGCAUUGUGGGGGGUGGAAAGUCGAUGCGGUUGGGGAUGGACGCGCGGCUUACCGGCUAGCUGGUGGGGGAGUGGCUUACCAAGGGUGGGAAUGGUAGCCGGCCUGAGAGCGUGGACGGCGACCAUGCUACUGCGAUACGGCCCAGAGUCGUACGGGAGGCAGCAGUGGGGAGUCUUGCACAAUGAGAGGAAGCCUGAUGCAGAAACGUCGCGGUCGGGAUGACGGCCUUCGGGUUGUAAACCGCUUCCGCCUGUGACGCAGCGUGACUGACGGUACUGGGUAAAGAAGCACCGGCUAACUACGUG
rnacentral:rRNA from 1 species